rnacentral:rRNA from 1 species
GUCUACAGCCAUACCACCCUGAACACACCUGAUCCCGCCUGAUCUCGGAAGCUAAGCAGGCUCAGGCCCGGUUAGUACUUGGAUGGGAGAAAUAGUUCUGCAUAUG